GGGGACGACAGGCUUCGACGCGGUUGUUUCGCGGGGGUGGUUGCGAGUCGAGGUGCUGGCCGGCCUCGUUAAACAGCCAGCAAAAACCAUAAGUGCGGACUCACAUGAGUACGCCCUCGCUGUCUAGCAAAAACUAGACGAGUGGGGUAUCGGCCCCCGAAGCCUGCGGCGGGGAUCGCCGGUAUCAAUAGCAGGAUCACCCGGUGAGGAAAGACCUCGCCAAUCCGGGGACAUUUUCAGGAGGACUGGUCCCAGGUAACCCCGCCGGUGCGGCGACCCAGGGAUGAGAUCAGAGCACCGGACACACUCGUAGACACCACUCUUUGCACAGCUGCGGACGCGGGUUCGACUCCCGCCGUCUCCAC
rnacentral:tmRNA from 1 species